UUUAUUUAUUCAUUAGUUAUCACUCAUAUCCACAGCGCACUGUACCAACUCAAUUAAGCCUGGCCUGAAGUUUGGUUUCGGCUGCGACUGCGACCGGGUCACGCCCCCUUCAUUAACGGCUCCAGCUGUCAACUAAAAACUCAUCUGCUGAAUUAUGCGCACAUUUGCAAGGGGGUGACAAUAAAUCGAGCAGCCUCUUCAGCCAUCCAUCCAUCUGCUUUAUUCCACGCCCAUCGAACGGGGCAACAAUUCUUCUUUACCGCCACACAGGUGACUCUCGGGCACAGAGCGGCACAGACAACUGUCAGCAGCAAGUCAACUGACAGCCACGCCCACGCCAGCAUGUGGCAUGUGGCAUGUGUGUGCUGUGUGCUGUGUGCUUGGGUGGCAGUCCAAGUUGAAGGCGUUUUGUGGUUCUGGCGGCGGGCGGGCUCAUCAAAUCUCUGUAAGUGAAAAUUCCACCCAGAGACAAGGAGGAGGCCAAGAAGGAGACCAAGCAGGAAGAAGGGUCGCUUGGCCUGGCCUGGCCUGGCCUGGUUGUUGGCCCUCGUAUAAUAUUAAUAAAGCAGAAAUUGAC
rnacentral:lncRNA from 1 species